rnacentral:rRNA from 1 species
AUUGAACGCUGGCGGCAUGCUUUACACAUGCAAGUCGAACGGCAGCGCGGGCUUCGGCCUGGCGGCGAGUGGCGAACGGGUGAGUAAUGCAUCGGAACGUGCCCAGUAGUGGGGGAUAGCCCAGCGAAAGCCGGAUUAAUACCGCAUACGACCUGAGGGUGAAAGCGGGGGACCGAAAGGCCUCGCGCUAUUGGAGCGGCCAAUGUCGGAUUAGCUAGUUGGUGGGGUAAAGGCUUACCAAGGCGACGAUCCGUAGCUGGUCUGAGAGGACGACCAGCCACACUGGGACUGAGACACGGCCCAGACUCCUACGGGAGGCAGCAGUGGGGAAUUUUGGACAAUGGGGGCAACCCUGAUCCAGCCAUGCCGCGUGCGGGAAGAAGGCCUUCGGGUUGUAAACCGCUUUUGUUCGGGAAGAAAUCCUCUGGGCUAAUACCCCGGGGGGAUGACGGUACCGGAAGAAUAAGCACCGGCUAACUACGUG